rnacentral:rRNA from 1 species
AACGAACGCUGGCGGCAGGCUUAACACAUGCAAGUCGAGCGCCCCGCAAGGGGAGCGGCAGACGGGUGAGUAACGCGUGGGAAUCUACCCAUCUCUACGGAAUAACGCAUGGGAACGUGUGCUAAUACCGUAUACGUCCUUCGGGAGAAAGAUUUAUCGGAGAUGGAUGAGCCCGCGUUGGAUUAGCUAGUUGGUGGGGUAAAGGCCUACCAAGGCGACGAUCCAUAGCUGGUCUGAGAGGAUGAUCAGCCACACUGGGACUGAGACACGGCCCAGACUCCUACGGGAGGAAGCAGUGGGGAAUAUUGGACAAUGGGCGCAAGCCUGAUCCAGCCAUGCCGCGUGAGUGAUGAAGGCCCUAGUGUUGUAAAGCUCUUUCACCGGUGAAGAUAAUGACGGUAACCGGAGAAGAAGCCCCGGCUAACUUCGUGCCAGCCGCCGCCGUAAUAC